rnacentral:lncRNA from 1 species
CCCAGCCAUAAGGACUUUUUCAAACAUGUUUCUGUUUGAUCAUGUUCAACCUCUCCAAUAUAAUAAAGAAGUUUAUUAUAUUACUUCAGAGGUUUGGAACCUGAAGCUAGGAGAGAGUCCAUGUCUUCUCGAAGAUCACACAGAAAGAUAUGAACGAAAACUGAACUUCAUAUUUCUGGCUCCUAGUGCAGAUCUCUUUUCUUAUUUCCUCAUGGCUUAAUUUUUGGUUAAAAGCAAUGACUUCUGGCUGGGCACAGUGGCUCAUGCCUGUAAUUCCAGCAAUUUGGGAGGCCAAGGCAGGCAGAUCACAUGAGGCCAAGAAUUUGAGGCCAGCCUGGCCAACACGGUGAAACCCCAUCUCUAUUAAAAAUACAAAAAUUAGCCAGGCCCGUGUGAUGCGUGCCUGUAGUCCCAGCUACUUGGGAGGCUGAGGCAUGAGAAUUGCUUGAAUCUAAAAAGUGGAGGUUGCAGUGAGCUGAGAUCACACCACUGCACUCCAGCCUGGGCAACACAGCAAGACUCUCUCUCUCUCUCUCUCUCUCUCUCUCACACACACACACACACACACACACACACACACACACACGCCAUGACUUUUGUAGGAAGGAUGAAAAAAGCCUGGGCUAGGAACAAGAGGAUCUGAAGUCUAGUUCUCACUCUUACUCCAUUGCUGGCUACUUGAAUGGUCCCUAAAGUUCUUUAUGACUCAUCUGUAAAAUAAAAGCAUUGGCUAUAACAACCUUGACAUGGUCUGCUCUGAAACCACAAGUGUAAACACAAAGUACUGAAUGAAUGCAGAUAAAAAGGACCUUUAGGAAGGAGAUAAUUACCUAGUAUAGGUUCAGCUUAAAAUUAAUGGGUUAUCAGGCACUCUUCCCUUAAAACUUUUCCAAAAAUGAAUAUCACAACUACUUUCCCCAGCCCAGCACUUAGCACCCACCCACAGUCCUCUCUCGUCCUAUCAUCCCAGUCUACUCCUUUUUAUUCACCCUCUGUUUGAAACUGGACUGUUUGUUCUUCUCUAAACAAUUUGUGUAUUUAAACCUCCACGCUUUGACUCCCACUAUUCAUUCCACAUUGAAUCUCCUUCUGUCCCUAUCUGGGUAUUUCUAAAUCCUUUCCUAUGUUUUAAUUCCUGUGUUUUAAUACAUCCUUUGAGAAGCCUUCUGAACCUUCACAGAAUUUAUUUUCCUUUAUUCCUUAUGUCCUUCAACAUUUCUGCCUCUAUUUUGCAGAUGUGGCUUCUUUCUGUCUCCACAUUGUAAGCUUCUUGAAGGCAGUGGCUCCACCUUAUUUAUCUAUCACCCAACAACACGUAUUGCCAGAUAAGGCAAUAAAAUGUGCUGAAUAUAUUAUAGAAAGAUAAUUAUGAAUAUGACACAAUAACAAGACACUAUUUUUAAUGAACAAAUAUCUGAUAGAUUUUUUUCCACUUUAAAUGUGUCCAGAAUCAGAAUUCUAUAGCAGAAAGUUAGAGAUCAUGUGGUUCAAUUUCCUUCCUUUGAAGAAAACGAGGUCAGGAGAAGCUGACCACCUUACUAUGGUCACACUGCUCUUCUAUUUAGAAUAAAAACAAAACCAGACCAGCACUUUCCUAACCUUCCAACUCUCUCUCACCAUAAUGAUCUGCCCUUUCUCUUUCCAUAUGGAACAAUGGAAUAAAACAUAUGAAUCAUAGGAACCCAACAAUGAAUGAAACACAUUAUAUCUGUUGACAUAAUAAACUUGCGUAUCAGCUAAACCUAGCAUUUCCCAUUUCUCAAUCCUAAUUAUUCUUUUACCGUGCUAUUUCCUGUCCACCUAUUCGCUUUGGAAAAAAGGAUGCCUAACAACAAGGAGGGUCACUGUGGUAAUGACUGUCUUGAGACAGGCAGAAUUCUGACUGGACUGAGUUCAGCAGCCACCACGCAAGAGGCUGAUUUGCAUGUGGUUCUCUGAUGUGCUUUGGGAGACGACACCUCCUCUCAUCAAGCAUUAUCUGUCUGGCAUGCUUUUAACAGGACUGAAGUAAACAUAUAUAUUGGAGAAAUAUAGGAAAGGUGUGUUCUGAAAAACAAAUAUGUACACAGAGAUGAUGAAGCCAUAACACGAAUGUGUUACAUCCUUAGAGCAUCUUGGCUCAUUCCCGUAUUUGUUCAUAAACAUUUCACAAGCACAUCCUUUGUGCCAGGAACUUGCCAUAUUGUUUUGUAACCAAUGACACAUCUGUCUCCCCUGUUGGACUGUGAGUUCUUGCAGUCUAGUAAAGAGGGCAGGUAAUUCGAUAAAGGGUUAAAAGCCACUGUAAAUGUAGGAUUAGAGGAAUGUAGGCAGACGGUGAUGGGGACGUGGACAUGGGGCUGAUGGAGCACCCAACUGCCCAGCUGUGGGCUGACAGGAUAGUGUGGGUGGUUGAGGGUUGAGCUGGCUUUUGAAGUGUACAGAGAAUUCGCCAGCCAGAUAAGAGCGGAACGCAUCUGAGAGUGAAAAGAUUAUGCAAAGGCUCAGGCGUAUAAAAGAACCAUGUCACAUUCAGGAACUCUGAGGAGUGAGGAGUAGCAAGAGAGCAGUGGGUACUUGGAGCAAAUACGAUUGGAGACAAGGCUGGUGAGGCAGGCGGGAGAAAGCAGGGCUCAGUGUGCCCUGUACUGGAAUCUGCUCUUGCUCUGGGUUGAAGAUAGCAAGUGCAUCUCUGGGCAACUACUGCAGCUGGCUGUGGGGGACUGAUGCAUACUGUUGAGGCUGAUCUUACUCUGUCUCCUCUCUAUGUCCUUGUCUUUCCAGUUUUCCUUCUUUGUGCCAUUGGGAUUAUAGAGAAUCAGCUCAUAAAAGUCAAAGUCCCCAGAGGCUGGACUCCAGUUGAACCAAAGGCUGUCUGUCGUGUUCCGAUUGGACCCCCUGAGAUGACUCACAGAGGCUGGGACUUAAACAGAAGAAAAAUUGUUACUGAGAACAAAACAGAAACACAGGCAUUUUGGCCCACAGGGACCCGCUGACUGAGGCAAUCAUGAUCUGGUACUGCUCCCCGGCCUCCAGUCUGUGGAACGUGUGCUCAAAGACGUGCUUGGGAAUAGUCUGAGAGUCAACCUUUUGACUGUGCCUGAAUGCCGACACCGUGUAGGAAUCAACGUCUCCCCCACCAGGAGUCCAGUUCACCGUCAGGCUAUCUGUUGCUCCAUUGGGAGAAAUGUGAAUAUUUUUGACAGCACUAGGAACUAAAACAGAAAAUAAAUUUAAAAGUCAUCACUUAGAGAAUGAACUGUUGAAAUUUUCAAACAAAGUUUUGAAUGCUUCUGAUGUUUUGGCACCCACUGAGAGAACUCACAUGAAAAAGAAAGUAACAAUUUGCCACUUUUCUCUGAUUUUUCUGUGUGAACUAAAGUUGAUGGGGGAAAGCUUAGGGGGAAGUCAAAGCCGGUGAGUGGAAAUGAGGAAUGCUAAUUAUAUAGCGAGGGGCUAGUUAGGGUGUCUUGGUCCAAGUUUUGGUUUUCUCACUCACUAGCUGUGGGACUACAGGCAAAUUACUUGACCUCUGUAAGUUUUAGUUUCUUCAUUAGGAAAAAUGGCAGUGAUGAUAAUACUAACCAGCCCAUAGAGUUGUGAAGAUUGAUUCUUUUUUAAUUUAAUUUUAUUUUAUUUUUGAGGUAGGGUCUCUGUCUGUUGUCCAGGCUGGAGUGCAAUGGCAUGAUUAUGGCUCACUGCAUCCUAUACCUCCUGGGCUCAAGUGAUUCUCCCACCUCAGCCUCCCCAGUAGCUGGGACUACAGGCACGUAACACCGUGCCCGGCUAAUUUUUUUGUAUUUUUUGUAGAGACAGGGUUUUGUCAUGUUGCCCAGGCUGUGCUUGAACUCCUGGGCUCAAGCUAUCCUCCUGCCUUGGCUUCCAAAGCAUUGUGAAGACUGAACAAGAUGUAGACAUAAAAUGCUUUGCUGUGGGUCUGGUUCAUGGUGAACUGUCAGUACAUGUUAACUACUAUGGCAACACUCCUAAAAGAGUUCUAAAGAAGUGAUACCCAAGUAACACUUAAUUCUUAAUCUGUGUGCCUCAGAAGCACCAGCUGAUCACAUCAGUUCAUUGCUAUUUCUCUGAAAGCACCCUCCAACCCCGCCACUCUCUGCUGACAUCAUACUUUAUUUUCAUUCAUCCAGGUUGGACAACAUCAUUGUCACUAUCAACAUGACUUUGUCCCUUCUUGCUGUCUCCCUUUUAUCCCUCCAAAUGCUCAAUCGAAAUACCUGAACUACCCGAAAGUUAAAUGCACCACUGCAUCUAUUCAGGUUCAAGAACAGUAUUUCACAUUACCUGUGAAGCCCUCAAUGAAGGCUGACUGCUGUACAUCCCCGCUAAUCGUCAAGACAAGAAUUUUGUAUUGGCGGCCUGGUGUUAGGGAAGUAAAUCGAUACUCGGUUGCGGUAUUUACAAGGUGAAAAGGAGGAAAUACUUUCAUGUCAUUGAAGAGCAGCUGGAUCUCAUAUUGGUCGACAUCCCCAUUAGCUCCUGACCAAGUCACAUGCAAGUCCUCAGUGCUCCUGUUGCGCAAUGUUAGAUCCUUAACAGGCUCUGGAACUAGGGAGAAAAAUGAGAAGACAUUUCAGGAAAGGAACUGAUCAGAGUUUACCUACAUAAUAAUUUAUGAAUCACAUUCAAGGAACUGGCAACAUCUCCCUUCCCCAAAUAAACCACUAGCACUACUUCAUGCAUAAUUAAACAAGAAAAAUUGGAAGCAACUAUUAACAUUGUGGUUUUUUCCUGACAUAAAUGUUACAUGAUCAGCAUUGGUAGAACAUAAUUAUAAAAUGAGUUAUGAUCUCAAUCAUAAGAUAAAACAAGAAGUCUAGAAUCUAAAUGCCAUGAUGCAGGAAGAUAGGGAAGAAAAAUGGGACAUUUAGCCUUCUUGCUCCCUCACUAUGUUUGCUUUUAUCUACCAAUAAAUAUUCUGUAAUUAUAGGCCAUGGCUUGGCUGAAUGAUGUUAGCACCAAGUGAGACUUACUGGGAAUGUAAUGUACUAAUGAAUAAGCAGAAAAAAUUCAAGGUUCAGAUAAAUUACUAGAGACUUUCAAGUCCAACCAACUGUCAGAUUUUGCAAUCGUUCCACUUACUUG